AUGUCCACGCAAAUGUGAAGAGAGUGAAAGCUUGUUUAAUUGCUUUGUUGUCACCUCUUUCCAUUCCUCCUCAUUAACCGACUGUGAUGCUGUAGGAGGUGGUGGAACAAAAGGAUCCCAGAAAUCCUAGCUUGAUGAUUGAGGCGGUGGAGGUGGCAGCGAUGGCAGAAGAGGAGGAGCUGAUAUCGAUGUCCAUGUGUCGGAGCUAGGACUCAUUGGUUGGGGAGGAGGUGGAGGUGUGAGAGGUAAAAGUGAAGGUGAUAUUAAAACAGGUUGUGUAUCGAUCAAGUGGUAUCUUUGAAGGAGAAGGGGAAAAGGCAGAUGGCAAAUGAACAAAUAGAGGCAAACCCUUGUGUCCAUUGACAUGACAAGACAAAUUACCAAAUAAUUCAUUGAAUAAUACAAUAAUCCAUGAUGAGCUUAUGGACAUUUCCCAUCUAGUAUAUUAUGCUCUCUCACUGUUUUAGGAAUUGCUUGUGGUCUUCUUAUUUCUGAGAAGCCUAAUAACACCACAGAUGCACUCUCUUGUCAUUUGUCCUUCUGGCUCUUCUUUUAUCUAGGAAAACAAUGUUUCUUUACUAAGAGCUAGUAGUUUCAUUUUGCUGUCCCUUUCUGCAUAUUUCUAAUGCUCAGAAGUAACAAGUCGUUUUCUGCACUGAUGACUAUAUAUACACACAAAUGUGUGUAUAUUUGCCUAA